rnacentral:rRNA from 1 species
AUUGAACGCUGGCGGCAGGCCUAACACAUGCAAGUCGAGCGGAGCGGCGGGCGGGUGAGUAAUGCAUAGGAAUCUACCUGGUCGUGGGGGAUAACGUACGGAAACGGGCGCUAAUACAGCAUACUAUCAGAUGAGCCUCGGUGGACUUAGCUAGUUGGUGGGGUAACGGCCUACCAAGGCGCGGAUCCGUAACUGGCCGGAGAGGAUGAUCAGUCACACUGGAACUGAGACACGGUCCAGACUCCUACGGGAGGCAGCAGUGGGGAAUAUUGGACAAUGGGCGAAAGCCUGAUCCAGCCAUGCCGCGUGUGUGAAGAAGGUCUUCGGAUUGUAAAGCACUUUAAGUUGGGAGGCGUUACCAACAGAAUAAGCACCGGCUAACUUCGUGCCAGCAGCCGCGGUAAUAC